rnacentral:lncRNA from 1 species
GAUGAGUUCACCAGACUGGAGGGGGGAUGUGGUCCUUCUCACCACCAUGGAUACCAUGAGGGAUGAGUUCACCAGACUGGAGGGGGAGGGGGUCCUCCUCACCACCAUGGAUACCAUGAGGGAUGAGUUCACCAGACUGGAGGGGGAUGUGGUCCUCCUCACCACCAUGGAUACCAUGAGGGAUGAGUUCACCAGACUGGAGGUGGUCCUCCUCACCACCAUGGAUACCAUGAGGGAUGAGUUCACCAGACUGGAGGGGGAGGUGGUCCUCCUCACCACCAUGGCUGCCAUGAGGGAUGAGUUCACCAGACUGGAGGUGGCCCUCCUCACCACCAUGGAUACCAUGAGGGAUGAGUUCACCAGACUGGAGGGGGGAGGUGGUCCCCCUCACCACCAUGGAUACCAUGAGGGAUGAGUUCACCAGACUGGAGGGGGGAGGGGGCCCUCCUCACCACCAUGGAUACCAUGAGGGAUGAGUUCACCAGACUGGAGGGGGGAGGGGGCCCUCCUCACCACCAUGGAUACCAUGAGGGAUGAGUUCACCAGACUGGAGGGGGAGGUGGUCCUCUUCACCACCAUGGAUACCAUGAGGGAUGAGUUCACCAGACUGGAGAGGGGAGGGGGCCCUCCUCACCACCAUGGAUACCAUGAGGGAUGAGUUCACCAGACUGGAGGGGGAGGUGGUCCUCCUCACCACCAUGGAUACCAUGAGGGAUG